GUCCACGCCCUAAACGAUGCGAACUGGAAGUUGGGGGCAACUUGGCCCUCAGUUUCGAAGCUAACGCGUUAAGUUCGCCGCCUGGGAAGUACGGUCGCAAGACUGAAACUCAAAGGAAUUGACGGGGGCCCGCACAAGCGGUGGAGUAUGUGGUUUAAUUCGAUGCAACGCGAAGAACCUUACCUGGCCUUGACAUGUCGAGAAUCCCUGAGAGAUCGGGGAGUGCCUUCGGGAACUCGAACACAGGUGCUGCAUGGCUGUCGU
rnacentral:rRNA from 1 species